rnacentral:rRNA from 1 species
UACGGAGGGAGCUAGCGUUGUUCGGAAUUACUGGGCGUAAAGCGCGCGUAGGCGGCUUUGUAAGUUAGAGGUGAAAGCCCGGAGCUCAACUCCGGAACUGCCUUUAAAACUGCAUCGCUUGAAUCCAGGAGAGGUGAGUGGAAUUCCGAGUGUAGAGGUGAAAUUCGUAGAUAUUCGGAAGAACACCAGUGGCGAAGGCGGCUCACUGGCCCGGUACUGACGCUGAGGCACGAAAGCGUGGGGAGCAAACAGG